rnacentral:rRNA from 1 species
GGCUAAUACCGCAUACGACCUACGGGUGAAAGCAGGGGAUCUUCGGACCUUGCGCUAUUAGAUGAGCCUAGUGUCUGAUUAGCUAGUUGGUAAGGUAAUGGCUUACCAAGGCUACGAUCAGUAGCUGGUCUGAGAGGAUGAUCAGCCACACUGGGACUGAGACACGGCCCAG